GAUGAACGCUAGCGGCAGGCUUAAUACAUGCAAGUCGAGGGGCAGCAGGUCCCGCAAGGGAUGCUGGCGACCGGCAAACGGGUGAGGAACACGUACGCAACUUUCCUUCAAGUGAGGAAUAGCCCAGGGAAACUUGGAUUAAUACCCCGUAAUAUCGUUGCCAGGCAUCUGGUGGCGAUUAAAGCUCCGGCACUCGAAGA
rnacentral:rRNA from 1 species